GUCUACAGCCAUGCCACCCUGAACAAGCCCGAUCCUGUCUGAUCUCGGAAGCUAAGCAGGGUCAGGCCUGGUUAGUACUUGGAGGGGAGACCACCUAGGAAGACCAGGUGCCGUAGGCG
rnacentral:rRNA from 1 species